UACAGAGGGGGCAAGCGUUGUUCGGAAUUACUGGGCGUAAAGGGCGCGUAGGCGGCCCGCUAAGUCGAACGUGAAAUCCCCAGGCUCAACCUGGGAACUGCGUCCGAUACUGGCAGGCUUGAAUCCGGGAGAGGGAUGUGGAAUUCCAGGUGUAGCGGUGAAAUGCGUAGAUAUCUGGAGGAACACCGGUGGCGAAGGCGGCAUCCUGGACCGGUAUUGACGCUCAUGCACGAAAGCGUGGGGAGCAAACAGG
rnacentral:rRNA from 1 species